rnacentral:rRNA from 1 species
CACGUAGGGUGCGAGCGUUGUCCGGAAUUAUUGGGCGUAAAGAGCUCGUAGGCGGCUUGUCGCGUCGACUGUGAAAUCCCGCGGCUCAACCGCGGGUCUGCAGUCGAUACGGGCAGGCUAGAGUUCGGUAGGGGAGACUGGAAUUCCUGGUGUAGCGGUGAAAUGCGCAGAUAUCAGGAGGAACACCGAUGGCGAAGGCAGGUCUCUGGGCCGAUACUGACGCUGAGGAGCGAAAGCGUGGGGGAGCGAACAGG